rnacentral:rRNA from 1 species
AUUGAACGCUGGCGGCAUGCCUUACACAUGCAAGUCGAACGGUAACAGGUCUUCGGAUGCUGACGAGUGGCGAACGGGUGAGUAAUACAUCGGAACGUGCCUAGUAGUGGGGGAUAACUACUCGAAAGAGUGGCUAAUACCGCAUGAGAUCUACGGAUGAAAGCAGGGGAUCGCAAGACCUUGUGCUACUAGAGCGGCCGAUGGCAGAUUAGGUAGUUGGUGGGAUAAAAGCUUACCAAGCCGACGAUCUGUAGCUGGUCUGAGAGGACGAUAAGCCACACUGGGACGGAGACACGGCCCAGACUCCUACGGGAGGCAGCAGUGGGGAAUUUUGGACAAUGGGCGCAAGCCUGAUCCAGCAAUGCCGCGUGCAGGAUGAAGGCCUUCGGGUUGUAAACUGCUUUUGUACGGAACGAAAAGCCCUGGGUUAAUACCCUGGGGUCAUGACGGUACCGUAAGAAUAAGCACCGGCUAACUACGUGCCAGCCGCCGCCGUAAUAC